rnacentral:rRNA from 1 species
GGGAUAUUGCACAAUGGGCGAAAGCCUGAUGCAGCGACGCCGCGUGAGGGAAGACGGUCUUCGGAUUGUAAACCUCUGUCUUUGGGGAAGAAGAUGACGGUACCCAAAGAGGAAGCUCCGGCUAACUACGUGCCAGCAGCCGCGGUAAUACGUAGGGAGCGAGCGUUGUCCGGAAUUACUGGGUGUAAAGGGAGCGUAGGCGGGGAUGCAAGUUGGAUGUUUAAACUAUCGGCUCAACCGGUAAUUGCAACCAAAACUGCAACUCUUGAGUGAAGUAGAGGCAGGCGGAAUUCCUAGUGUAGCGGUGAAAUGCGUAGAUAUUAGGAGGAACACCAGUGGCGAAGGCGGCCUGCUGGGCUUUAACUGACGCUGAGGCUCGAAAGCGUGGGGAGCAAACA